UGUGCCUGCUGCUAGACCUGUCCUGCGCCAGGCAAUGAGUCAAACUAAUGGCUCCUUGCUCUGGGAAAGGCACUGAGGUGCUGCAGGGUGGCCAGAGAAGGACAACAAAAGUGGUGAAGGGGCUGGAGAAUAGAGCUGGGUUUCUGCUUCUCUGGCAUCGUGUGGGGCUGCCAGGAUGCACCAAAGCCAAGUGACCCCAGGAUAGUCUUGUUCCCGUGGAGGGGAGGAUGGACACAGCACAGGGUGCUGAGUGUCUGGGCAGGUGAUGGCAGAGCUCCCAGUGCCCACAGCCCCCUGCUGGAGUCACCUAAAGAGCCUGAGGAUGGGUGGUAUGACAAGGACCAUGGCAGCAUGCAGGAGAUGCCGGCAUGCCCCUGGCUCCUUCCCUAUCUCCCUGCCUGCAGGGAAGAUGGCUUCAAGAGACACCUUGGUCCAGACCUCAAGAUCUGAGGGUCUGAGCCACACCAACAAGCCCUCAGAGUCUGUGGGGCAGUGGAGGCCAAGAGGAGCAUUUACUGCUCUGCAGGUUUACAACGACUUUUAUCUCCAGCUUCUGCUGAAGAGGACAAGAUGGGAGGCAAACCUACUGGGAAGCAGCAUUCAAAUGGAGACAGAGCUCCCUCCUCUCUUGCAUGACUUGCAAGCUGCCACCACAUUCCUUAUCCCAAGGGAUCUUCCCCUCCUUGCUCUGCACCUUUUCCACCACUGCACUCUCAGCAGUGUGCAGAUCCUUCCAAGGCCCUAAGCUGGGUGUAAAUGAGCGUCUGCUGCGCUCCCCAUCCAGCCUCUCCCCUCGCUGCCCACCCAGGGCCCGGGGGCUGCAAAGGAUGAU